rnacentral:rRNA from 1 species
GACAGAGGAGCCAAGCGUUGUCCGGAUUGACUGGGCGUAAAGCGCACGCAGGCGGUCGCGCGCGUGGGGUGUGAAAACUGGCGGCUUAACUGCCAGAGGCCAUCCCAUACGGCGCAACUCGAGCCAUGCAGAGGUCCACGGAAUUCCUGGUGUAGCGGUGAAAUGCGCAGAUAUCAGGAGGAACACCAAUUGCGAAGGCAGCUCGCUGGGACGUUACUGACGCUGAGACGCGAAAGCGUGGGGAGCAAACAGG